rnacentral:rRNA from 1 species
GAUGAACGCUAGCUACAGGCUUAACACAUGCAAGUCGAGGGGAAACGCCAUUGAAGCUUGCUUCGAUGGUCGUCGACCGGCGCACGGGUGAGUAACGCGUAUCCAACCUGCCUCUGACCAAGGGAUAACCCGUCGAAAGUCGGCCUAAUACCUUAUGCAGUCGUCGGAAGUCAUCUGAUGACGACGAAAGAUUUCAUCGGUGAGAGAUGGGGAUGCGUCUGAUUAGCUUGUUGGCGGGGUAACGGCCCACCAAGGCAACGAUCAGUAGGGGUUCGGAGAGGAAGGUCCCCAACAUUGGAACCGAGACACGGUCCAAACUCCUACGGGAGGGAGCAGUGAGGAAGAGUGGUCGAUGGGCGAGAGCCUGAACCAGCCAAGUAGCGUGCAGGAGGACGGCCCUAGGGGUUGUAAACUGCUUUUAUGCGGGGAUAAAGUGAGGGACGUGUCCUUCAUUGAAGGUACCGAAUGAAUAAGGACCGGCUAAUUCCGUG